rnacentral:rRNA from 1 species
GAUGAACGCUGGCGGCGUGCCUAAUACAUGCAAGUCGAACGAGGUGCUUGAGUAGCAAUACGAGAGUAUCCUAGUGGCGAACGGGUGAGUAACGCGUUGGUGACCUACCCCAAAGUGUGGGAUAACAGUCCGAAAGGAUUGCUAAUACCGCAUGUGGUUAUCGGAUUUAGAAACUGAUAUCUAAAGGAGCAAUUCGCUUUGGGAGGGACCUGCGUCCCAUCAGCUAGUUGGUGAGGUAAUGGCUCACCAAGGCUACGACGGGUAGGGGACCUGAGAGGGUGACCCCCCACAAUGGAACUGAAACACGGUCCAUACACCUACGGGUGGCAGCAGUAGGGAAUAUUGCUCAAUGGGCGAAAGCCUGAAGCAGCAACGCCGCGUGUGCGAUGAAGGCCUUCGGGUCGUAAAGCACUUUUCUGAGGGAUGAGCAAGGACAGUACCUCAGGAAUAAGUCUCGGCUAACUACGUG